UCCUCUCUCACUCUCUCUUUCUCUUGUUUUAGCUCCAAUGAAACACUUUGAGCUACCCUUUAAGAUGUUUGAUCUCAAUGGUGAUGGAGAAGUUGAGUUUGAUAAGUUUUAAGCGGUUCAGUUAGUUCUCCUCGGCUCCACAGCAAUGGGAGUGAGACACAGAGACCACGUCAUCAAUGGUAAUGUGGUUUCGUCUGUGGGUGGAGCAUUAGCAGUGCAUUUCUUGGUAAGAAACUCGACCAGAAACUGACGAUAGAAAAGUUUCAAGAAUUCCAUACUCUUCUCAACACUGAGAUACUCCUGAUGGAAAUCUAUUACCAAGAAUGGGCUUCAUUUGUGCUUCAGUUUAGAAGAUACACUUCUACUUGCACAGCCAUCAUUUCCACUUUUUAGCCAUGAAGCAACUUUGAUUUUUGUGCAAAUCAUUCAUAGGGGUGCUGGGCUUUUGCCAAAGGGUCUGGUGCUGUACUUACCUUUCCUUAAUACAUUGUGAAUCUCCUCAGUUGCUGGGUCUUAUUUUAUUCAGGUAAAUUUCCCCUCAAAGUUACUAUGUUUUUUAGAAAAUGCCUAAUUAUCAGCUACACGUGGUUCAAAUUUUGAAUGAUUUUAAUUAUAUUCAUAAGUCACUGACAAUGAAUAUUGUUUUAUCAGUGACGUAUCAGGAAGUGAAGCCAUAAAGAAUCCGUUCACAAUUGUGCAGUGUAGCGCCUUCUUGUAGGCUGUUAGCAAUUAUCUAUAUUAUGAU